rnacentral:rRNA from 1 species
AAUGGGUCAGCGACUUAUAUUCUGUAGCAAGGUUAACCGAAUAGGGGAGCCGGAGGGAAACCGAGUCUUAAUUGGGCGUUAAGUUGCAGGGUAUAGACCCGAAACCCGGUGAUCUAGCCAUGGGCAGGUUGAAGGUUGGGUAACACUAACUGGAGGACCGAACCGACUAAUGUUGAAAAAUUAGCGGAUGACCUGUGGCUGGGGGUGAAAGGCCAAUCAAACCGGGAGAUAGCUGGUUCUCCCCGAAAGCUAUUUAGGUAGCGCCUCGUGAAUUCAUCUCCGGGGGUAGAGCACUGUUUCGGCUAGGGGGCCAUCCCGGCUUACCAACCCGAUGCAAACUGCGAAUACCGGAGAAUGUUAUCACGGGAGACACACGGCGGGUGCUAACGUCCGUCGUGAAGAGGGAAACAACCCAGACCGCCAGCUAAGGUCCCAAAGUCAUGGUUAAGUGGGAAACGAUGUGGGAAGGCCCAGACAGCCAGGAUGUUGGCUUAGAAGCAGCCAUCAUUUAAAGAAAGCGUAAUAGCUCACUGGUCGAGUCGGCCUGCGCGGAAGAUGUAACGGGGCUAAACCAUGCACCGAAGCUGCGGCAGCGACGCUUAUGCGUUGUUGGGUAGGGGAGCGUUCUGUAAGCCUGCGAAGGUGGCCUGUGAGGGUUGCUGGAGGUAUCAGAAGUGCGAAUGCUGACAUAAGUAACGAUAAAGCGGGUGAAAAGCCCGCUCGCCGGAAGACCAAGGGUUCCUGUCCAACGUUAAUCGGGGCAGGGUGAGUCGACCCCUAAGGCGAGGCCGAAAGGCGUAGUCGAUGGGAAACGGGUUAAUAUUCCCGUACUUGGUGUUACUGCGAAGGGGGGACGGAGAAGGCUAUGUUGGCCGGGCGACGGUUGUCCCGGUUUAAGCGUGUAGGUGUGUGUUCCAGGUAAAUCCGGUUCACUUUAACACUGAGGCGUGACGACGAGGCACUACGGUGCUGAAGCAACAAAUGCCCUGCUUCCAGGAAAAGCCUCUAAGCAUCAGGUAACAUCAAAUCGUACCCCAAACCGACACAGGUGGUCAGGUAGAGAAUACCAAGGCGCUUGAGAGAACUCGGGUGAAGGAACUAGGCAAAAUGGUGCCGUAACUUCGGGAGAAGGCACGCUGACACGUAGGUGAAGUGAUUUACUCAUGGAGCUGAAGUCAGUCGAAGAUACCAGCUGGCUGCAACUGUUUAUUAAAAACACAGCACUGUGCAAACACGAAAGUGGACGUAUACGGUGUGACGCCUGCCCGGUGCCGGAAGGUUAAUUGAUGGGGUCAGCGCAAGCGAAGCUCCUGAUCGAAGCCCCGGUAAACGGCGGCCGUAACUAUAACGGUCCUAAGGUAGCGAAAUUCCUUGUCGGGUAAGUUCCGACCUGCACGAAUGGCGUAAUGAUGGCCAGGCUGUCUCCACCCGAGACUCAGUGAAAUUGAACUCGCUGUGAAGAUGCAGUGUACCCGCGGCAAGACGGAAAGACCCCGUGAACCUUUACUAUAGCUUGACACUGAACAUUGAGCCUUGAUGUGUAGGAUAGGUGGGAGGCUUUGAAGUGUGGACGCCAGUCUGCAUGGAGCCGACCUUGAAAUACCACCCUUUAAUGUUUGAUGUUCUAACGUGGACCCGUUACCCGGGUUGCGGACAGUGUCUGGUGGGUAGUUUGACUGGGGCGGUCUCCUCCUAAAGAGUAACGGAGGAGCACGAAGGUUGGCUAAUCCUGGUCGGACAUCAGGAGGUUAGUGCAAUGGCAUAAGCCAGCUUGACUGCGAGCGUGACGGCGCGAGCAGGUGCGAAAGCAGGUCAUAGUGAUCCGGUGGUUCUGAAUGGAAGGGCCAUCGCUCAACGGAUAAAAGGUACUCCGGGGAUAACAGGCUGAUACCGCCCAAGAGUUCAUAUCGACGGCGGUGUUUGGCACCUCGAUGUCGGCUCAUCACAUCCUGGGGCUGAAGUAGGUCCCAAGGGUAUGGCUGUUCGCCAUUUAAAGUGGUACGCGAGCUGGGUUUAGAACGUCGUGAGACAGUUCGGUCCCUAUCUGCCGUGGGCGCUGGAGAACUGAGGGGGGCUGCUCCUAGUACGAGAGGACCGGAGUGGACGCAUCACUGGUGUUCGGGUUGUCAUGCCAAUGGCACUGCCCGGUAGCUAAAUGCGGAAGAGAUAAGUGCUGAAAGCAUCUAAGCACGAAACUUGCCCCGAG